rnacentral:rRNA from 1 species
CCCUUUAAGUUUGAUCAUGGCUCAGAGUGAACGCUGGCGGCAGGCCUAACACAUGCGAAGUCGAACGGCGGCACAGUAAGAGCUUGCUCUUAUGGGUGGCGAGUGGCGGACGGGUGAGGAAUACGUCGGAAUCUGCCUUUUUGUGGGGGAUAACGUAGGGAAACUUACGCUAAUACCGCAUACGACCUACGGGUGAAAGCGGAGGACCUUCGGGCUUCGGGCAGAAAGAUGAUGCCGACGUCGGAUUAGCUAGUUGGAGGGGUAAUGGCCCACCAAGGCGACGAUCCGUAGCUGGUCUGAGAGGAUGAUCAGCCACACUGGGACUGAGACACGGCCCAGACUCCUACGGGAGGCAGCAGUGGGGAAUAUUGGACAAUGGGCGCAAGCCUGAUCCAGCCAUGCCGCGUGUGUGAAGAAGGCCUUCGGGUUGUAAAGCACUUUUGUACGGGAAGAAAAGCAACUGGUUAAUACCCGGUUGUUCUGACGGUACCGUAAGAAUAAGCACCGGCUAACUUCGUGCCAGCAGCCCGCGGUAAUACGAAGGGUGCAAGCGUUACUCGGGAAUUACUGGGCGUAAAAGCGUGCGUAGGUGGUUGUAGGUCUGAUGUGAAAAGGCCCUGGGCUCAACCUGGGGAAUGGGCAUUGGGAUUACUGGGCAGUCUAGAGUGUNGGGANAAGGGUUACGGAAUUCCCGGGUGUAACAGUGAAAUGGGUAGGAUAUCGGGAAGGGAACAUUCCGUGGGCGAAAGAGGGUUACCUUGGAACAAACACUGGACCAUUGGAGGGCACCGAAAAGCGGUUGGG